rnacentral:rRNA from 1 species
AUGGAAGAGUUCGAUGGCCUGCUCAGGCGCUGGCUCCAGAUCCUCGCUGACAAGGGCAUCGAGGAACUCAUCCUCGUCAACCGCCCAAUGCCGCUCGGCUACCUUCUCCGCUCCACGUUCUUUCUCCCCUCCACGUUCUUAGGCAUGACCACCCUCACCUGUCUCUACCUCGGCCUCUGGAAGUUUCCCGACAUGGCCGGCGUCAAGCGCACCACCUUUUUCCCUAACCUCCGUGAGCUUGGGCUCUGCACCGUCCUCAUGGAGAGCAAGGAUUUGGACUUCAUCCUCGACAGGAGCCCCGUGCUUGAGAUGCUCUGUGUGGAAAGCAAUAUUUUCAAUCUUGGCCUUCGCCUUGUCAGCCAAAGCAUCCGGUGCGUGAAGAUCAUCCUGUCCUUCUUUGAGGAAAUCGCUGUGGUGGACGCCCCAUGCCUGGAGCGACUCAUCCUUUCAGGUGGUUGGACCAAAGACGGGGUCUGCACCAAGGUGAAGAUCAGCCAUGCCCCCAAGUUGCAAUCGUUGGGGUACUUGGAUUUAGAAAAUCAUGUCCUAGAGUUUGGCAACACUGUCAUCAAGGCUGGGACAAAGGCGAGCCCAAGCACCAUGGUACCAAGUGUGAGGAUCCUGGCUUUGGAUGUGCGUUGUGGAGUCCGCAGUUAUGCCAAGAUGAUCCCGGCUGUCCUCGGAUGCUUUCCGAAUGUUGAGACACUCCACAUCAUGUCUGGAGAAACUGGUCAACCCUCUGUCAAGCACAACCUUGAGUUCUUGAAUGAGUCUGGUACCAUAAAAUGCAUCCGCUCGUG